ACCGAAAGAAAAAAAAUAAUGGGAAUAAGGUUUUUCUCACCAAUUAAAACUCAAACAGUAGCACCAUUCAUCGUUCCUGCUGUUCCCUGAGGCUUUGGCUGGAGAAGAAUCUGCAUAAAUGGAGCGUUAUUGUACAGCAUCCUUACUCAUCUAAUUGAGCCUCCUGCUUGUAAAAGGCUCUGGUGUCCACGUGGAGCUGCCCAGAGGUGCUGGACCCUGCUCACUGUCCUGCCCUGACAGCCUGGCUGUGCAGGUGUUUCAGCUCCAUCACUAGAUGGGUUUUGGCACAGGGCAGGUGUGCUCAUGACUUUGGUUUUACCUGUGUGAGCUUUACAUCUUCACAGGGCAGGGACUUCUGGAAGCACAAUAUAACUUCGUUCUUUGGAGGUUUUUUAAAAGGUGUAGUUGACCUAAGUUACCAAAACCUCAACUUCCCUGCAAAAGGAAAAUACACAAAACCAUUUUAUGCUUUCUUUUGUUAAUUCAUUUGGAACUCAACAAACCCCCUGGUUUCUUAGUUGGAUGUGUAGUACUUUUUGUUAGUGCCUCCUUGGUUUUAUCCCAGCUGAAG